CCUACGGGGGGCAGCAGUGAGGAAUAUUGGUCAAUGGGCGCGAGCCUGAACCAGCCAAGUCGCGUGAGGGAAGACGGCCCUACGGGUUGUAAACCCCUUUUGCCGGGGAGCAACGGGCGCCACGUGUGGCGCCACUGAGAGUACCCGGAGAACAAGCAUCGGCUAACUUCGUGCCAGCAGCCGCGGUAAUACGGAGGAUGCGAGCGUUAUCCGGAUUUAUUGGGGUUAAAGGGGGCGUAGGCGGAGCGUUAAGUCAGUGGUAAAAUUGAGGGGCUAAACCCUUUCCCGCCAUUGAAACUGGCGCUCUUGAGUGUAAGAGAGGUAUGCGGAAUGCGUGGUGUAGCGGUGAAAUGCAUAGAGAUCACGCAGAACCCUGAUUGCGAAGGCAGCAUGCCGGCUUCCUACUGACGCUGAAGCACGAAAGCGUGGGGAUCGAACAGGAUUAGAUACCCGAGUAGUC
rnacentral:rRNA from 1 species